CCGCUCUCUCCCACCUCCAUAGCCAGAAAGCUUUGUUUCUUCUUCUUUCUUCCCUCUGUUCCCAAUCUCUCUGAAUAUCCUCCAUUUUCCUUCUUCAAAUCCGCCAUUUCUUCAUUUCUGUUCUUUCUCUGACCUCCCAUCGCCCUCUGCUGCAAUGGCUGUAGCAGAGUUUAUUCCUUCUUCUUCAUCAUUGACUAAAAAAGCGAGUUUUUAUUCAUCACAACUCUCUAAUGUUUCAACUAAGAUCUCUCAUCAACGUCGAUUAAGCUUUAAGCCUUUAUUGAGAACUCAUAAUCAUUCUCAAAUAUGUUGCUCUGUUACUUCUAAGGAAGCUCAAGCGACGACUGUAGUGCAGACUGAUGAUCCAAAGAAGAAAUCAGAAUGCUAUGGAGUUUUCUGUCUUACUUAUGAUCUCAAGGCUGAAGAAGAGACGUCUUCGUGGAAGAAAAUGAUUACUGUUUCUGUGUCUGGUGCUGCUGGGAUGAUUGCUAAUCAUCUUCUAUUCAAACUUGCAUCUGGUGAGGUUUUUGGGCCAGAUCAACCUAUUGCACUAAGGCUAUUGGGGUCUGAGCGGUCAAUCCAAGCGCUUGAAGGAGUUGCUAUGGAACUAGAGGACUCUUUGUAUCCUUUGCUUAGGGAGGUAAAUAUAGGUAUAGAUCCCUAUGAGGUGUUCCAGGAUGCAGAAUGGGCACUUCUCAUUGGUGCAAAGCCUCGAGGCCCCGGUAUGGAACGAGCUGGCUUAUUGGAUAUAAACGGCCAAAUCUUUGCUGAACAGGGGAAAGCUCUCAAUGCCGUUGCAUCGCGAAAUGUUAAAGUGAUAGUUGUGGGAAACCCUUGCAAUACCAAUGCAUUGAUUUGUUUGAAAAAUGCUCCAGACAUACCUGCAAAGAAUUUUCAUGCAUUGACGAGAUUAGAUGAAAAUCGAGCAAAAUGCCAGCUUGCUUUGAAAGCUGGAGUCUUCUAUGACAAAGUAUCUAAUAUGACCAUCUGGGGAAACCAUUCGACUACUCAGGUUCCAGACUUUUUAAAUGCAAAAAUUAAUGGUUUUCCAGUCAAAGACGUCAUUAGAGACUCUAAAUGGUUA
rnacentral:misc_RNA from 1 species